CGGUAGCUGGACCCACCGGACUCCUCCGAGUCGAACCCAGCCUUCCAAGUCCAUUCAGGACUUUCAACCCACACGGG
rnacentral:ncRNA from 1 species